rnacentral:rRNA from 1 species
ACGGAGCUGAAGUAACUGAUACCACGCUUCCAGGAAAAGCCACUAAGCGAAAGGCUUUACUAAACCGUACUGAAAACCGACACAGGUGGUCAGGUAGAGGGGAAACAGGUUAAUAUUCCUGUACUUGGUAAAGCUGCGAUGUGGGACGGAGUAGGUUAGGUUGUCGCACUGUUGGAUAUGUGCGUUUAAGUUGGUAGGUGGGAAGUUUAGGCAAAUCCGGACUUCCUUAACACAGAGAGAUGAUGACGAGGCUCUACGGAGCUGAAGUAACUGAUACCACGCUUCCAGGAAAAGCCACUAAGCGAAAGGCUUUACUAAACCGUACUGAAAACCGACACAGGUGGUCAGGUAGAG